rnacentral:rRNA from 1 species
UCGUUGCUUCGGCGAGCCCGUCCUCACGGACCGCCGGAGGGACCUUCACCGGCCCUCUGGUCCGCGCUCGUCGGUAGCCCAACCAUUAAAAUCUUUAACCAAACGUGCCUUAAUCUAAGUACAAUUAUUAAAUAAAAGCAAAACUUUCAACAACGGAUCUCUUGGUUCUGGCAUCGAUGAAGAACGCAGCGAAAUGCGAUAAGUAAUGCGAAUUGCAGAAUUCCAGUGAGUCAUCGAAUCUUUGAACGCACAUUGCGCCCUUUGGUAUUCCGAAGGGCAUGCCUGUUCGAGCGUCAUUAUCACCCCUCAAGCCCCUGGCUUGGUGUUGGACGGUUUGGUGGAGGCCCCCUCGGGGGCUCCUGCCCCUCCCAAAGACAAUGACGGCGGCCUCGUUGGACCCCCGGUACACUGAGUUCUUCACGGGACACGUAUCGGAUACAUGGGUUUACGGGACACGGUCUGCCUCCCCUCAGGGAGAAUCUUUCUAAGGUUGACCUCGGAUCAGGUAGGGAUACCCGCUGAACUUAAGCAUAUCAAUAAGCGGAGG